GUUGCUUUAAACAAACCUUCUGGUCUGCAAGUUUUACCUGGGGGACUCUUCCAACAACGAACUGUUUUAAUGCAACUUCGAUGGAAAGAAUGGAGAAACAAUACAUUGGAUUAUUCCAAACAACAUACUACCCAACAAGCACAUCCUGUACCUGUUCAUCGCUUGGGAAGGGGAACAUCAGGUAUAUUGCUUUGCGCCAAGACAAAGCGUGCAAAAAGUUGCCUUGCAGCUUAUUUUGCCAAGGGCACAGAAAAUAUUGUAGAAAACAGAUGUGAAGGAGAGUCUGGAAUGCGAAGAAUUUCAAAAUUCUAUCGCACAUUGGUCACUGGGUUAAUCGAAAACAAUGAGGUUGUAAUCAAACAGCCCAUUGGAGUGAUGCACUAUCCAGGGGUAGCAAAUGGGCUUUAUGUUGCGUCUUCAUCAGGGAAGCCAGCUAUGAGCAAGGUUUAUGUUCUCAAAAGAGAUCUCCAAAGAAAUCAAACAUUGGUUCAGGUUGAGAUUCAUUCUGGACGACCACAUCAAAUUCGCAUUCACCUUGCAUCCAUUGAUCAUCCACUUUUAGGUGAUCCUCUUUAUGGUAUUGGUGGGUGUCCUAAACCCUUUGAGCCAGAUCCUAGAGAUGAUGAUUUUGCAGAAGAUGGAGGUUAUCUAAAACCAGUGCAAUCUGUACCUGGAGACUCUGGCUAUUUCUUGCAUGCACAUCAACUUGUUCUUCAUCACCUAACCACACACGAGAUGGUAGAAAUCACUGCUCCGCUGCCACUCAUCCUCCAAACACAGGAAGAACUGGAUCAAACAAAACCAGCAGAAAAAGGCAAUGAUGGCAGGUAGUUGCUGUUGAUACCACUGUAAUUGCCAGGGCAGAAGGAUAAACAAUGUCUGGUGGGCUCGCAUAUUUUGAACGGGUAUAUUAUGAACAGCUGUCAUGAAGGGCCUCCAUCAAUAUCUUAGAUUCCGUUCUCAUUUUGUUGGAGGAAAAUUCCAUCAUUCACAGGGCACCAUGAAGUCAGGUCAUGACCAUAUUCACCGUCUGGUAUCAUUUGUCUUGAUACUUGUGUUAUUUCAAUUUUUUACCUUUUUGUUGAGCCAAGGAUCUUCAAGGUUGCAAGUGAUAUUAUUCAUUUACAUGUGAGGUUAACCAUUGAUGGGAUACUGCUUUGUGUUAAGUAAUGGCUUCAUCAGCAUACAAGAAAAAGGUGGAAGCCGAAAAAAAUAAAAAUAAACAAAAACAAAAACAAUAAAAUAGUAGAUAAAAUGAGAAAGGAUUUGGUAAUUGUAAAGCACUACAAAUGGCUGAAAUAUUGUGCUUCAUGAUCAAUUAAGUUGCAUGGGUCUGGCUUAAUGAUCAAUUUUAUUUA